AUGGAACAGUUUCUUCUCAAAAGAAAAGCAUCAUCACAGGAUGUUCCGGAAGACAUAAAUUGGGAAGAGGAGAUUCAAUAUGAUCCGGGCAAGAGAAAAUUGAUAGAGCAUUAUCAUCCUAAUUUAGAAGAUCUGGUAAGAAGGAAGUAUUUGUUGAAUGGACCUUGUCAGCCAAGAGAGAUUGAUUUUGAAUCCUCAGAUUUUGGGGGUAAACAAAGAAAGUUCAAUCCCGAAUGGUUUGAUGAAUUUGAGAGCUGGGAUCGUAGUCAGAAGAAAGAAGCUGGAUAUGAGGCAUUCGUUGUGAAUGGUUGGAAGAGCUGGAACAUGAAAUCAAUGUUAAAAGAACAUGUUGGUGAGGUGGGCAGUGUCCAUAAUCAAGCAACGAAGAAAUUACUUGAUUUUCAGAAGAAAAAAAAGAUCAAUACAUUGAUGUUGCUAUGCAGGUUCAAGGUGAAACUUUGA
rnacentral:rRNA from 1 species